UAAGUAAUAUUUAGAAAUAGCCGUUUUGAAAUAAAAUCACGGUUCCUUCCGAGACAUGCUGUCAGUGGUGGCGACCAUGAGGUGACGGGUGAUACGUGGUAAUUAGUC
rnacentral:lncRNA from 1 species